AUGCUCAACUACUGGCUUGGGUAUGAUGAAACAAGGGCUUCCACUGGAGCCAUGAUGCUCAAGCAGCUGACUGCUGCUGUCUGCACAGCACAGAUUUUCAUUAAAAAUCAAUUCCAUUUUAACUUUGACAUUUAUUGUCAAUUUGCCAAAGACAAAUUGAAACAUGAAGAUUGUCAUUUCCUGUUUGAUAUGUUGUUCCUGUGUACAAUGUCCAUCUUCCUUAUUUACGUGUAUGCGAUUCCAUCUGGAAUGUUCUCUCUGUGUACUUCUCUUAACUGA
ensembl:lncRNA